AUCACCAACAUUUGUUGCAUCCUGUCCAUACUUCUUCUUGAUGACAGACUUCAAAUGGUGGUAAACUUCCACCCCCAUCUUCAUGGCCUCUUUGAAUGAAGAAGCUCCAACUGGUAGAAUCAUGAACUCCUGCAUUGCAAGCUUGUUUCCUGCAUGCGAUCCUCCGUUAAUGACAUUGAAUGCAGGAACGGGAAGAACCAAGGACUUGUUACCAGCAAGGUUGGCGAUGUGCUUGUACAGAGGAAUUUUCUUCACGCUAGCACCAGCUUUGCAGACAGCAAGAGACACUGCGAGUAUGGCAUUUGCACCAAGCUUUUGCUUGCACCAUCCCCACUCGUUAACAGUUCCAUCGAGUUGUUGGACCAUGAAGUUGUCAAUCUGUGCCUGCUCAGUUGGGUCCUUUCCAACCAAUGCCGGGCCAAUAAUUGAAUUGACAUUGUCAACAGCCUUCGAUACACCUUUGCCGAGGUAGUCAGAUCCUCCAUCUCUCAACUCAAGUGCCUCGUAAAUACCUUUGGGAAGAAGAGAUUAGGUAAAAGAUCCGCAUCUUCAGUAGAUGCACCGCUAGGAACAGCUGCUCUAGCCAAGGUUCCAUCAGACAACACGAUAUCGACCUCGACGGUGGGAUUUCCACGGCUGUCG
rnacentral:misc_RNA from 1 species